CUUCAUGCUAUCCUCCUUCCCCUCUGGCAUUUAGGCAAGCAGUGAGAGACUCACUUAGGAGAAUAUACUUUGACUUAGUGAUCUCAUUCAGCAUGUUAUGCUAAAUCAUUUCAGCACGAAUACCUAUUAGUAAUCAUUUCCAGUUCCAGGAAGGAUGAAGGAGGUAUUUUGGCAUAUGAGUCAAGAACCUGCUGGGCUGUUUCUUCAGGCUGGCAAAACAGGGGAACUGUGGUGAAUUCAGAAGUUUAGUCAAACAAGCCUGAAGUUUAAUUCUUCCUGAAUGGGUUUGACUGUGACAUGCCAUCACUCCGAGCUGCAGACAGCAUCCUGCCUGCUGCUGGGCACCGAGCCUGGCACAGGGCUGGAAACCUGCACAGCUGCACUGAGCUGCUCAAAGCUGCAGCACCACGACAAAGAUGAUUCCCCUGACAAGUGGAGGACAGAAGAAGAAAUGGCAGCUGAAGCAGAAAUUCUGAAGAAGUAUUUCCAGGAAAAUUAAAGGUAAUGAUCUGAACAUUGACUUAGUCCUGCAGCACCCAAGCCUUUGCUGAAGCCUCCAGAGGCUUGUUGAAGACAACAGGGCAAGUAUCUAGAAUGAAACAAAAGAAAACAAAGCUCUUAGUUUUGUGUAGUUUCC
rnacentral:lncRNA from 1 species